CUUCCCUUGCAGCACCUUGCUGUUGUGCUGCUCCUUCCACCUCUUUUGUAACACCUUUUCCAUGGUGUUGGUCCUUCUGAUUCCUGAAUUUCUGUUAAAUAUUGUAGCAGUUUGUCAGCAGCAAGAAGGAGACCAGGGAAUGCAGAGGUGCUGACUGCCUUCUCUUCAGAGGGUACUGCUGAGAGCUCUCCUCAGGGAUCCUGGAGGAGGUGGUAAGAGACGAUGAAAUGCGUCUGAGGACCAGAGGACAGCCAGCGUUGGCGCAGCCUUCAAACAGGGUGCAGGAGUCUCGCUGAUGAGAGCUGCGCGGCAUUCAUGGAGGGGAACACCAGCAGGAAGAAGGACUGGACUGUGAGCGACAAAGCAGUUAUGGUGUUGCCUUGCCUGGGGCUAUGGAAGCUUGGUCUGGAGGCUUUCCCAGGUUCAGGGCCAGACCAAGAACUGCGAUGGUGCCCUUCUGGAGCAAGGGUUGGGUGUGCUGCUGGAGUCCUGAGAGGAAGGUGAAGCCCUGAGGUUGGAAGGCUGUGGCUGCAGAAGCGGAGCAGAGGGACCAGCAAGAAGCUUGGUGUCCCUUUGAAGAGGGAUGUCUUCUGCUUUGUUGCCUUCUUGCUGAAGUGGAAUGGCGGAGGAGAACUUCCCGGUCUAACUCUGUUUUCUUCUCAGCGUCUGCCCCCAGAAUGCUGGUAGGUAAGUUCAGUUCUGUGGGGUGGGCAGCGGGUGAUGCUGGCUCUGUGGGAGAGAAGAAUGAGUGGUCAAAGAGGGGUUCUGGGAAGGACUGUGGGUGGGAAUGCUCUGCGUUAGGGGUGGGGACUGGGAUGCCUGGGAGUAUCUGCCCUGAAAACAGGGCUGCGCUGGCUAUUUCUGUGCUUGGGCCUGCCUGGCUGGCUGGUGGCACUUAGCUUAUUGAUCUUGGGGAAUGGGAGAGGGGAGAACAAGGGCCCCUUUGCAAUUGGUGGCAGGUUUUGUAAGCAAAUUCAGGAGGGAGACAGAACAAACAUUGUCAAAUGUUACCUCUUUCAAAAGGACCAUGUAUCAGGCUCACUUGACUUGCCCAAUGAAAUGGCUUGGUGCAUUUCUCUGGUGCCUGUAUGGUUGCAGCUGCGUUGCAGGAGUUUCUCCAACUUGGUGGAACUCCCUGAGCAUGGAGUGGUGCUGCCUUCAGAAAGCAACCUGGAUGAGUUUGCUGAGGACUAUCUCUGGUUUCUCGCUGGGUGACUCGAGCUGGUGCUUCUUGGCCGAACCCUGUGCAUCCAGCCUUGAAUAAGACACAAGCCUGGGUCAGAAGGGACCUACAUGCCCUUGUUCUGAUGAGUCUGCAAAACCUCAGUGUGCUGCCUCUGAGAGCAGUGUCCAAACCCUUCUCCAACUCAUCCACUCUGGGGCUGUGCCUGCAGCCUGCCUGCCCUCUGCUGAGUUAACUUCUCAUCAGCUGCAGUGUGACCCUCCCUGAUGCAGCUCUGCACUGUUCCUUCCUAUCCAUCCCUGCUCUUACAGAGCAGAGCUCAACACAGGACCUUGGCGGCUUCUUGUAGCUCUCACCCUCUGGCCCCCUCACCUUUUUUGCAUUGUAGAAUCAUGCCUGUGGCAACAGCCUGCUAUGGAAGAUCGUCCAGUACAACUGCCAACCCAUCACCCCCACACCAUUUAAGAACUCGGUGCACUGCUUACCC